GGCAGUUUGAGAAAAGCAGGUGCUCUCUUCAGAAAGGACACAGUUAGGGUCACUUCUUCCCCCGCAUUGCGAAGGACCUGAACCACUUCUUCAUGCCUGCAUUUUCUCACAUUAAUUCCAUUAAUCUGCAGAAUUGCAUCUCCUAUAAAGAGCAAACCUGAAAGUUCAGCUCGUUGUUCUUUGGAAAUCUUAGAAAUGACCACUGGAAUAUUAUGUUCUGCUCC
rnacentral:lncRNA from 1 species